UCACCCACCAUACUCCGCUGGUGAUAAUGCUCCCCGUCAGGACAACUUCUGGGUGGCAUCUGAGUCCCUCAAAGGAGAAGAGGAGCCAUCGUUUCCCUUUCAGGGAGCUCCCUCUGGAAGGAGGGUCUUGCCAGAAGAUCGCAAACAUGUUUUUAAAAGUGUUGCUCCUCAAUCAAAGAAUUCUACUGAGUAAACUUGUCUCUACGGUUUGGAGAGGAAUUCAUAGGAAGGCUACUGCCAUUGAACGCCUUGCACAAAGCCUGGUGGGGAUGGGCCACACCCUGCACCCUGACUCUCUUGCUGCUGCUCAGGCAUGGAAAACCACUGACCACGUGGCUUGGAAUAGCCCAUCCGCUUGUGAUGUUUUGUCACCAAUAAUCUCUGUCUAGAAUUCCCUGAGCAUCCACCACAUGCGGAGCUGCAUGAGGAAACGGCCCACUUCUGGAGUUCAAAGCUACCAACCAGACUGCUCGGAAGCUGGGACAAUAUGUAUCAGCUUAAUGGGUGCUCUGCUCCGAAUCUGGAUGUCUGCAAGCUGAGGACUGGUCACUCCUCGGGGAGGUGCCAAAUGAAGUCUGCAGCUAAGCAACCAAGAACAAGCCAUGUGAAUUAUGCCACGCUCACGCCAGAAAAUGCCAAAAGGCUGAUGGUGUCUCUGGGACACGCUUGCCUUACUUUCCGCUUGACCAGCGCGUCUGCUCCACCUCACCCACCAGUCAGCAUCAUUG